rnacentral:rRNA from 1 species
UGAGUACGGGACGCUAAGGCGUUGAAGCAGUCUAUGUCAGACUUCCAAGAAAAGCUCGCAAUGUCAUGAACAAAAAAUGCCUGUACCAUAACCGACACAGGUGGGUAGGUAGAGUAUACUAAGGGGCGCGAGAUAACUCUCUCUAAGGAACUCGGCAAAAUGACUCCGUAACUUCGGGAGAAGGAGUGCCUUAUUUUUAUAAGGUUGCAAUAACAAGAUCCAAGCAACUGUUUACCAAAAACACAGGUCUCCGCUAAGUCGUAAGACGAUGUAUGGGGGCUGACGCCUGCCCAGUGCCAGAAGGUUAAAGAAGUUGGUUAGUUUCGGCGAAGCUGAUGACUGAAGCCCUGGUGAACGGCGGCCGUAACUAUAACGGUCCUAAGGUAGCGAAAUUCCUUGUCGGGUAAGUUCCGACCCGCACGAAAGGCGUAAUGAUUUGGAUACUGUCUCGGAGAGGGGCUCGGUGAAAUAGACUUGUCUGUGAAGAUGCGGACUACCUGCACCUGGACAGAAAGACCCUAUGAAGCUUUACUGUAACUUGAGAUUGAAAUUGGACUUUAUUUGCGCAGUAUAGGUGGGAGACGUUGAGAAUAUUCUUGCGGGAAUAUUGGAGUCAUCAGUGAGAUACCACUCUUGUAAUGUUAGAUUUCUAACUUUGUAUCAUGAUCUGGUCAAAGGACAGUUUCAGGCGGGCAGUUUGACUGGGGCGGUCGCCUCCCAAACGGUAACGGAGGCGCACAAAGGUUUCCUCUGAACGUGUAGAAAUCGUAUCUAGAGUGUAAAGGCAUAAGGAAGCUUGACUGUGAGACCUACAAGUCGAGCAGGGACGAAAGUCGGUCUUAGUGAUCUGACGGUGCUGAGUGGAAAGGCCGUCACUCAACGGAUAAAAGUUACUCUAAGGAUAACAGGCUGAUCUCCCCCAAGAGUUCACAUCGACGGGGAGGUUUGGCACCUCGAUGUCGGCUCAUCGCAUCCUGGGGCGGUAGUACGUCCCAAGGGUUGGGCUGUUCGCCCAUGAAAGCGGUACGCGAGCUGGGUUCAGAACGUCGUGAGACAGUUCGGUCCAUAUCCGGUGUAGGCGUUAGAAUAUUGAGAGGAGCCUUCUUUAGUACGAGAGGACCGAGAAGGACAUACCUCUGGUGUACCAGUUAUCGUGCCAACGGUAAACGAUGGGUAGCUAUGUAUGGAGUGGAUAACCGCUGAAAGCAUCUAAGUGGGAAGCCCACCUCAAGAUAU